rnacentral:tRNA from 1 species
GGAGGGCAGCGUCCGCUGGUGCGGGCCCCGGUCUUCAAAACCGGCCGCUGGGCCGGACGGUCCAGGCUGGGUUCGAUUCCCAGGGCCCUCCGCCA